GGAGAACAAGGAAAUACAAGGGUUUUAUAUAACCCUGCUAAGGGAGUAGGCGGGUAACACCGCGCUGGGGUUCAAAUCCCCACUUCUCCGCCA
rnacentral:tRNA from 1 species